AUUACACUAAACUGCUGUUGCAGAAUCUUCUUAACUGGCUGGAUUUCAAAGGAAUAAUUCAAUAAUGGGGAUCGCUGUGUUGCAAAUUGACACUAAGCUUGCCUGAGAGCCUGAACCCUGCUAAAUAUGAUCAGUUCCCAGUUCAAUGUGAAGAGAAUCCAAAUGGAGAGGAAGGUGUUAUGGUUUUUGAAGAUAAAAACUAUCCUAUGAGACUGGAUCCUCGGGUUCCUGACUGCUGAGAAAUGAUGAUCUGCAAUCACAGUGACUAAUAAGAACAAGACUUUUACUACAAAAGAAAAUGUAAUUGGAUCGGAGUUGCUUUUUACCAUAAAAAUGAAAGCAUUAUUAAUAUUUAUAGACUACAGUUUUGGUAAAAAGUAACCUGCCCUCUGAUACUGCAACAUUAAUAACUCUUUAAC